GCAUGGUCCAGCAAUAAUUCCAAGUAACAAAUCUCAAAUAUCCUGAUUCAAAUGAGUUUUUAAAUUCCCUUUACAAUUUUUAAAUCAGAAAAAAUGUAAAUUAUCUGCACUGAAGAUGGUUUUGAUUUUUUCAUUUUGGUUUGGUUUGGUUCUUGUUAUUGCUUGUGGAUUACAACAGAGAGCUUCCAACUCCCUUCAGUUUGAAUCUUCAUCAUCCCUUUGAGGACAUCAUGCAAUCUGCACUUUGCUGCACUGUGACUAAAUGCUUGGUCCCAGACCCUUAAUGAGUAUAGAAACACUGACCAAAGCCUAUUCCCUCUGCUACAGGCUACUGUAUUUCAGCACAUGGAGAGAUGUCAGAUGCCCCAUCUGCUGGGGAAUUCAGCAUGCAUAGACCAGCAGAAGAUGAGAGCAGUGACCCAAGACUAUGAGUGAAUAAUGGGCACAGUAAUUAUGGUAAAUGACACGACGCAAUGAAACAGAUUUCCUUCACAAUCUUUUGAGCAGCUCUGCGUGACUGCUGCCUCCCACUUGAGACUUCACAAGAACACAGGGAACCGCACUCCGCUGAAGGAAAUCCUUGGAUUCGGGAAGGUUGCAGAGGAUGUAAUUUAGGGGAGACUGCAGCCAUGACUGUAAUGUGCUACAAGAUCUGUCCUGACACCGUGGAGAACGCAUGAGGAGGGCUGUAAGAAUGUAACCAACAACCUCACUCUCUUUCAAAACUUUCCAAAGAAACUACUACCCAAUGCAGAGACCUCCAGAAGAAAAAUAAGUACUUAAAAUGUGGUUUGCUGUUUUUUUGAUCUGAGGUGAACGUGAAAUCUUCCUGUUUCUUUCGCUUGCUGUCACACUCAUGAGGCGCCACCAAAUCCAGUGAAGAAAUCCCACUGCCCUCAGAUACUUCAUCCUGAAAAUGAGAGCAAAAACAGUGGAAAGCUCAAAUGCUUCUGCAAGAAGAUCUAGACUAUUGCCUGCCUGCUCCAAGCUGAGCCUGGCUCAGAUCUGAUGCCUCACACAUCUGCCUAUGAUCCCAGUCAUACACAUCCCAUGCUGGCUGGGACCCCCCAUCAUUAUCUGUAGAUCUCCAAAUGCAAAACUUCUUUUCUUCAGGGUCUGAAAGGAUGUUUUUCAAGUUAUGACCUGGCAAUGGCUCCCUUGACUUAUUUACCAUGAACCUCUCUGUGUCUGAGAUGCAAAGGUCACCAAAUGACACAUUGAUUUGUAAAUGUUUUCCUGCAGAAGAACAUGGAGCACCCUGCAUUUUGUUAACCACUGGGUCAGAUAACUGAGUAUUCAGAAACACCUGAAACCCCCGAAACCCCCUUGAGUUCUUCUGAAAACUCUGGAGUUGAAACAAGGCAGGUAAAACAGCCACUAACCCCUUUCUUCUGCGACUAUGAGUUGAAAACUUCAGUAAAACAUGGGCUUAUGCUACCCUGAAGUCUCAUACAAGGAUGUGGUGGCAUCUGAAACAUGUGCAAAAAGGACUUGGAGGAGAAAAUGUGCUUGACCAGAUGUACUCCACAGCCAGUCAUCAAUGUACCAUCUCAGUGGGUGUAAUGGUGGCAGCCAGACACGCUGAGAAAUCAGACGAGAAAAGAUUUGUAUGUGUCCUAGGCUCCAUAAUAAGCAGAACUGGGAGGUUUCUUUCAGCCCAGUCCCAAAGUAACAUGUAUGCUUCUUUAACCUUUUUAGUUUAAAAUCGCCUCAUACCUAACAGACCAAAAAAGAACAACUAAUAAUCUGAGAGGGUGGAAUAGAAAAUCUGUCAGCCUGAGUCAGACUAUUGGACCAUCAAGCCCAGUAUCCUGUCUCUGAAAAGCUGUCAGUAUCUGACACUUCGGGCUUCGUUGGGAUAAUAAAACAUUUUCCUCAACCUUAUGUAACAUCUCGGCCUGGCAAAGAGAAGAUUUAAACAUUGAUUGCUUUCCACUCCCCUCUGUCCUAUGAAUGUGAAUCUGACUCUUGUCCAAAACGAACAACUCUGAUGAGCUGGAAUUGGUUUCUGGGCAGGAUGGGAAAAGCUCCUCUCUCGUUACUCAUUCCUGGAUAGAUCUGCUAAACCUUUGCCUCCUAAAAGGGGGACUUGAAUUACGAGACAUAAAACUCCAUCCGCGAAAUUCUGGGUGCCCAAGGACACCUUUUCAGGGAAGGUGGAAACGCACGUCCCAAGACUUCAUGUCUAGUCACUUUAUUUUUCCCUCAUCAUGUCUACUUCCUUCAUUUUUGUAUUUGUUUAAGCUCUCCAUUAGUUUAUUAGCUUGACAGCAGCCCAGUUAAUGAGACCGUCUUCCCUCCCCCGGCAUUAAGUGGUGCAUUAGGCUCCCCGAAUGCACACAAAAUUUAGUGCUGCUGCUGGGGCACUUCUCAAAACAAAUAAAAGAUUUGCAAACCAGC